ACGAACGCUGGCGGCAUGCCUAACACCUGCAAGUCGAACGAGACCUUCGGGUCUAGUGGCGCACGGGUGCGUAACGCGUGGGAACCUGCCCUUAGGUUCGGAAUAACUCCCCGAAAGGGGUGCUAAUACCGGAUAAUGUCUUCGGACCAAAGAUUUAUCGCCUUUGGAUGGGCCCGCGUUGGAUUAGCUAGUUGGUAGGGUAAAAGCCUACCAAGGCGAUGAUCCAUAGCUGGUCUGAGAGGAUGAUCAGCCACACUGGGACUGAGACACGGCCCAGACUCCUACGGGAGGCAGCAGUGGGGAAUAUUGGACAAUGGGCGAAAGCCUGAUCCAGCAAUGCCGCGUGAGUGAUGAAGGCCUUAGGGUUGUAAAGCUCUUUUACCCGGGAUGAUAAUGACAGUACCGGGAGAAUAAGCUCCGGCUAACUCCGUG
rnacentral:rRNA from 1 species